UACGAAGGGGGCUAGCGUUGCUCGGAAUCACUGGGCGUAAAGCGCACGUAGGCGGAUUGUUAAGUCAGGGGUGAAAUCCUGGAGCUCAACUCCAGAACUGCCUUUGAUACGUGGCGAUCUUGAGUCCGGGAGAGGUGAGUGGAACUGCGAGUGUAGAGGUGAAAUUCGUAGAUAUUCGCAAGAACACCAGUGGCGAAGGCGGCUCACUGGCCCGGUACUGACGCUGAGGUGCGAAAGCGUGGGGAGCAAACAGG
rnacentral:rRNA from 1 species